AACGAACGCUGGCGGCAGGCCUAACACAUGCAAGUCGAGCGCGCCCUUCGGGGUGAGCGGCGGACGGGUGGGUAACGCGUGGGAACGUGCCCUUUUCUACGGAAUAUCCUCGGGAAACUGAGAGUAAUACCGUAUACGCCCUUUGGGGGAAAGAUUUAUCGGAAAAGGAUCGGCCGGCGUGGGAUUAGGUAGUUGGUGGGGUAAUGGCCUACCAAGCCGACGAUCCAUAGCUGGGUUGAGAGGAUGAUCAGCCACACUGGGACUGAGACACGGCCCAGACUCCUACGGGAGGCAGCAGUGGGGAAUCUUAGACAAUGGGGGCAACCCUGAACGAGCCAGGACGGGUGAGUGAUGAAGGCCGUAGGGUUGUAAAGCUCUUUAAGCUGGGAAGAUAAUGACGGUACCAGCAGAAGAAGCCCCGGCUAACUCCGUG
rnacentral:rRNA from 1 species